GUUCGUGACUUUGACAAAGAGGACACAGACGUUACUUAGAGCAACUUUACAGAUGCGCCAACAAGCCCAAGACCCCGAACUGCUUAUUGAUCUGCAGCAUAGUCACUCUUGCUAAUUCAUAUUCUGCCACGCCUGAACUAAGAAAAACUUGGUUGGAAACAAUUGCUCAUCAUCAUACUCGCUUGGGGAAUUGGUCCGAAGUAACCCAGUGCCGAAUUCAUGUAACAGCUCUCAUAACCGAGUACCUGUACCGGAGAGGUCUCCGACAACAGGGGUGCAAAACCUUUAGUUCCUUGUCACCUAAUAUUGUUCAAGAUGAGAGCAACCUUCGUUUAGUCACAGGAAUCCAUGAUACUCAGUAUGACGAAGCCAUGCUACUCAAACAGUUGGAAGAAUGUAGCCGUGCGGUAGAAAAAGCUGAACGCUACGAAAUGCAACUCGAAAUUUACCGAUUAUUGUACCAACUUAUGAAAAACAGAGAGACUACGUUGCAUUAGCUGAGUGUUUUGGUGUCCUUUCCCAGGCGUGUUCUCGAGCCAAUGAAGUAAAUCGAACUUGGAAACGGUUGCUUGCUGGUAUUUAGGCCUACUACCGAGUUGCACUGUAUGGAAAAGUAUUUCAUUGGCUCCGUCAGUAGGUGGCUAAAAUCAAGUUGUCCCCCAGCCGCCAGAUGACUCGAGUGUCUUUGAGAAGUCAUUGUUAGUUGAAUCAUGAGGUUCUGAGAGAAAGAGUCGCCAUUUUUAGACCUUUUAUUUUAGUGAGGUUUUGACUUUUGAAUUUUGAUGUUGGCUUAAUUAGCUGGAUGGCUGGAUUGCCACUUGUGAGGCAUUUCUUAGAAUGUGAUGGGUUUUAGUUGGUUCGGGUUAGCGGUUCGUGAGCUUGCUAUUAUUCUUAUUGAUUCUUGUAUUGAUGCGAUUAAAUUGCAUUGCAUGUGCAGUGAAAGUGGCCUGAAAGCAUGCUGAAAGUGUUUAAUUUCAUUUUUAUUUGUAGACGAAUUUUGAUGCUGAAAGUGAAAGACUUGGAAACCAUGCUGUCGACCACGUCGAGAAGCUGAGUAACAUUCUGCUUUUACGAUGGCACCUCUUAAUAAAAGGAACUUAAGCCAUCCAACCUAGGACUUCCAUCAAAUCGUGCAGGCUGCAUGGAAGUUGCAUUUACCUUUGCUGUGAACAUCAUGAACACAUAUACACUAUUUGAAGGUUCAUGUUUACGUAGCAGUGGUGUUGCUGUCCAAUGUGGCGUGUUGUUGCAGCCUAUGGUGGUGAACGAUAUCUGCAUCAAGUUGCUGUUCUUGUGCAUCCAAGGUGCUGGUUUAGUGCUACAGAAGUGACAUCCAAUAUUGUGUUCAAUUGCUAUUUGUGUCUUUGCAGUUUACCUUUAUAUAUUGAGAAGAAACAACAAAAAUAGUAAUACGGGGAGGUUUAUGUCAAACAAAUAAUAAACAUGUCCAGGAUGGGGGAAUGAGGAGGGAGUUGGGGUGGGGUAUUUUGUUAUGAUUUACUAAAAGAAGUAAGGUAUAUUUAUAAUGAAUAUGCAGUACUUGGUGAUAAAAUCUGUUGUAAACCUAUACCUUCCUGUCAACCUAUACCUUCCCCACUUAUACAUCCAUUCCUCAAACCC